rnacentral:snRNA from 1 species
GUGCUUCAGCAGCACAUGUACUAAAAUGGAAACGAUACAGAGAUUAGCAUGGCCCCUAUACAAAGAUGACAUGCAAAUACAGGAAGCGUUCCAUAUUUUU